GUGCCAGCCGCCGCGGUAAGACGAACCGUCCUAACGUUGUUCGGAAUCACUGGGCUUAAAGGGCGCGUAGGCGGUCGGCAUAGUCAGGGGUGAAAUCUUUCGGCUUAACCGGAAAAGGGCCUCUGAUACUAGUCGACUCGAGGGAGAUAGGGGCAAUUGGAACUUCCGGUGGAGCGGUGAAAUGCGUUGAUAUCGGAAGGAACGCCGGUGGCGAAAGCGAAUUGCUGGAUCUCUUCUGACGCUGAGGCGCGAAAGCUAGGGGAGCAAACGGGAUUAGAUACCCUUGUAGUCC
rnacentral:rRNA from 1 species